CAGCAGCCGCGGUAAUACGUAGGGUGCAAGCGUUAAUCGGAAUUACUGGGCGUAAAGCGUGCGCAGGCGGUUAUAUAAGACAGAUGUGAAAUCACCGGGCUCAACCUGGGAACUGCAUUUGUGACUGUAUAGCUAGAGUACGGCAGAGGGGGAUGGAAUUCCGCGUGUAGCAGUGAAAUGCGUAGAUAUGCGGAGGAACAACGAUGGCGAAGGCAAUCCCCUGGGCCUGUACUGACGCUCAUGCACGAAAGCGUGGGGAGCAAACAGGAUUAGAUACCCGUGUAGUCCCUGUCUCUUAUAC
rnacentral:rRNA from 1 species